rnacentral:lncRNA from 1 species
UAUCUUCUUUCUUUUUAAUCUUACAAUAUCUUUCAGUUGUCAUAAAAAGGCAGACGCCCCUCUUAACUAUUUCCACCUAUUUAUGAGAAAUAUUUCUCAAAAAAUCUUAAAAAGUACAACACAAAAAAUAUUUCAAAAGUAUAUUCUUUCUGUCUCUUUCGAAGUUGACACUACCGACCCUACUUUACUUUGGCUGCUCUCUGGUCGUCAUCUCUGCCACAACGCCGCCAGUCAUCAUAUUGUAACAAAUUCGUUCUCUGGCCUCGCUUACUUGUCGUCGGAAUAAUCAAAUUUGGACCAAUAUAGUACUAUUAAUAAUGUUGAGAUUAUUUUUUUAUUCCGCCAAACAAACAAGAUAAUUUUGUGCAAGAUUUUAUGUUAGGAUUAUUUUGCUAAUGCAACCAAUCAAAAGUUUGCUUAGUUAAUUAUGGUUCGUACGCCUUUCUUCUUUUCCCCCUCUACACUUGCAGAAAUCAAAUCGUGGUUAUUUUCUUACUACUUACUACUUCCUAACGUGACUUACAUGCUUGCUUGCUUUUUAAUUUUGUCAAAAAUCUCCAAUAAAAGAAAACAACAUGAGCUUGUCUCUGUACUGAUCCAACUUCACAUAGAUGAAUGCGCAAAAAAGUUUUCAGAUAAAAGAGUGAAAGUAGUGGCAGAUAUUGAAUGUGCCACUAUUUUUAGUAAAAUAAAAAAAAUAUGGCACACCAUGGGUGUAUUCUAGUGAUUAGGGAAAGGAAUCCAGAAAAUUAAGAUUCCAAUCCCAACAGAAAAAAGAUUGUGGUUUCUUCUAAUUUGUCUAAACUUUGAUAGAAAAAUUACUCAAUAUUCGUGUUGGUGGGAGAUAACAUGUAACAACAGCAACCCGGUAUAAUCCCACUUAAUGGGGUCUGGGAGGGUAGUAUGUACGCAGACCUUACCCCUACCCUGGGGUAGAGAGGCUGUUU